rnacentral:rRNA from 1 species
GGUCAUAGUGAUCCGGUGGUUCUGAAUGGAAGGGCCAUCGCUCAACGGAUAAAAGGUACUCCGGGGAUAACAGGCUGAUACCGCCCAAGAGUUCAUAUCGACGGCGGUGUUUGGCACCUCGAUGUCGGCUCAUCACAUCCUGGGGCUGAAGUAGGUCCCAAGGGUAUGGCUGUUCGCCAUUUAAAGUGGUACGCGAGCUGGGUUUAGAACGUCGUGAGACAGUUCGGUCCCUAUCUGCCGUGGGCGCUGGAGAACUGAGGGGGGCUGCUCCUAGUACGAGAGGACCGGAGUGGACGCAUCACUGGUGUUCGGGUUGUCAUGCCAAUGGCACUGCCCGGUAGCUAAAUGCGGAAGAGAUAAGUGCUGAAAGCAUCUAAGCACGAAACUUGCCCCGAGAUGAGUUCUCCCUGACCCUUUAAGGGUCCUGAAGGAACGUUGAAGACGACGACGUUGAUAGGCCGGGUGUGUAAGCGCAGCGAUGCGUUGAGCUAACCGGUACUAAUGAACCGUGAGGCUUAACCUUACAACGCCGAAGGUGUUU